GUGAGGAAUAUUGGUCAAUGGACGAGAGUCUGAACCAGCCAAGUCGCGUGAAGGAAGACGGUUCUAUGAAUUGUAAACUUCUUUUGUGCAGGAAUAAAGUGGGUUACGUGUAACCUUUUGUAUGUACUGUACGAAUAAGGAUCGGCUAACUCCGUGCCAGCAGCCGCGGUAAUACGGAGGAUCCGAGCGUUAUCCGGAUUUAUUGGGUUUAAAGGGUGCGUAGGUGGAUUGAUAAGUCAGCGGUGAAAGUUUGCAGCUUAACUGUAAAAUUGCCGUUGAAACUGUCGGUCUGGAGUGCAAAGGAGGUAGGCGGAAUGUGUUGUGUAGCGGUGAAAUGCUUAGAUAUAACACAGAACUCCGAUUGCGAAGGCAGCUUACUGGGAUGCAACUGACACUGAUGCACGAAAGCGUGGGUAUCAAACAGGAUUAGAAACCCGAGUAGUCC
rnacentral:rRNA from 1 species